ACAAAUGAUCAACCAUUUUUAGUCAUUCUUAAAGGAUACAUUUUUCCCCAUUCUAUGGGUAGUUAUUUCAAAACUCUAAAUGUAAUGGUGCAUAAUGAAAGGAUAAGGAAAACAUUAGGGAAAAAAAAAAACCUUGUAUGUAUCCCCACUGUCUCCUUCAGCAGAAAAUUUUUUUUUUCCUAUUUUAUUUGAGGAUGUCACUCUUUGGAAGUCUCCAUUUUAUUCCAGGUGUCUCUAACUACUGUCCUGUGUUGGGUCAAGCAUUGUUUUUUGUUUUUGUUCUUUGGUAUACAUGACCCAUUAAAAUCCAGAUUAUAAACUAUCCUGGCUGGAGCCAGAUCCUACAGAUCUGCACUUUUAUUUAAUGUCUUAUUUCUAAGAAAUCAUCUUAUUCCUUUUUCCCUGCCAGAUCAGCCAUGCAGUUUAAUCCAGUGUAUUUUGUUCUACACUGGGAGAAAUUUUUAUGAUCUCUAGUUCACCAUAUUGCUCAGCUUCCUAAGAGAUUCCCUGGUUCUAAACUGAAGGGCUUAAAUUAAAAGUGAGAUUAAGAGUAGAAAUGUGAGGACAAGUUAGAGUUAUUGCAAUAGCAAAAGUCUAGGCAAGAAAUUGUAGCUUUAACUGCUGUGUACUUGAUAGAAGUAGAUCAAAGUGGAUAGAUUUGAGAGAUACUUAAGUAAAAUCAACAUUACUUGUGGUGAAUUGGAUGUGUGAGUUGGAGAAGGAUGUUAGGGAUAAUGCCUAUGUUCAGGAUAAUGUUCAACUUGUAUAACUGGAUGGACGGCAGUGCUCAUCACUGAAAGAGGAACCUAGUUAAGAAAGUAAAAACUAUGGGUUCUGUUUUGAGCCAAAUAUGGUGCCUUUGAGACCCUACGUGGCAUAUAUGUGUCUGAAGGUCUGAGCUAGAGGUCCAACUCUGAACCAGAAAUAAAAACUCAUUUGACUGUGUAAUUGAACUUCCUGGGCAUGGGUGAAGUUGCCCAGGAAGAGGACACAGAGUGGAACAAAAGCAAGGAUAGGACCAAAUCUUGAGGACCUUAACCUCUAAUGACCAGACAGUGGAGACUGAGCCUGCAGAGACAGAGAAGUGUGGUCAACAAGUUGGUAGGAAGUUUUAAAGAGGGUAGUGUUUCAUUUUAUCCCAUUCUUUCUUAUACCUACAUUCAGCCAUAUUGGCAUUCUCACCAUUCCCUAUAAGCCUUGCUCUUCCUUUCUUCUAGGACUUCAUACAUGCUAUUCCUUCUGCCUUGAAUAUUCUCCAUCCCCUUCUCCCUUUCCAUCUUCCAAUAUUACUUCUGAUGAACUCCCAUACAUCCUUUAAGGUCUAACUCAAAUAUCAGAACUUCUAGGUAGUCUUUCUCAAAUCCUGCCCUAAACCCAUUCUAGACCAAGGUUUAUACCAGGUUUCAUUGUCCUUUUAUCUUCGUUGCAUGUAUCAUAUUGUAUCUCAAUUUUCCUUAGGCUAUUUAACUACAGUACCCUCUUAAUUGCAGGAUGGAUGUCUUGUAUAAUACCACUGUUCUUCCAGUACCUAGCACAGCACUUGGUUCACAGUUGAAUUAUUUUUUAAUAAAAAGACUUAAAGAAAGUAGAUCUCCAACAGGGUGCAGGACGCAUCUGGACAAAGAGAAAUCAAAUGACCACCUAACAUUAGGAAGACCUAAGGUGUUCAUACACACUAAAUCAAGGCAAUUUGGGGCUGCUCACAGGUAACUGUGAGGUAACAAUCAAUAUAUGCUCACACAAUUACCUCUCCCUUUUCCCUUCCACUAGGAGCCAUGAGGUUGUUGCCUUCAGUGACAUCUGCUCUUCCUAUUCCCAUUACAGUCUUGCCCAUAUAUUCUCAAUUAUAUGUUACAUAAAUAAAAUAUUAUGGGAUGAAUGUUGUGGUCUGUAUGGAGAAGACAUCAUGUGAUUUGUCUUUAAUCCUUUGGCUUUCAAAACAAUUCCCUGCAGAUAACAACACUGAAGAAAUUAAAUGAAUUCAACUAAGAAAACUAAGGAAAUACAUGGCAUGAGGGUUAAUGAGUCAACAUCAGGGUCUCAACACCUGCAGUGGAGAAAAGCCCUCUUCCCUCCAGACCUUUCCACACUCCUGCAGUCUACAGAGGAAUGGCCCUUCCUGGGGAAAAUCCGUAACUGCUCUUGGAAGUCUGGGAAGUCCAAGAUCAAGGUACUGCCAAAGUCAGCGUCUACAGAAGGUUGGCUCUCCUUUCACGACAGUGCCUUGUUGCCGCAUUUUCACAUGGUGGAAGGAGAGACGGCAAAAGAGAUAAAUGCUGUGUCUUCACGUGGCAGAAGAGGUGGAGGGCUGAAUUUGUCCCCUCAAGCUCUUUGAGUCUUGCUCCAUCGCCCAGGCUGGAGUGAUAUGGUGCGAUCUCGGCUCACUGCAACCUCCGCCUCCCAGGUUCAAGCAAUUCUCCUGCCUCAGCCUGCUGAGUAGCUGGGAUUACAGGCUCUGUAUUUAAGGAAAUGUGACAACAUAAGUGGAUCGAGCCAUAUGAGUUUGGACAACCAGGCAGCUAUGAUGUGGCAGAACCUAGGAGUGACAAGCUCCAAUGGAUAGACCCUGUCUUGGGAGUUUAGUAGAGAUGUGCAUGGAAUUUGAAAUCAGAUAAACUCAGGUCUUGUUGCAUGAGGCAAAUUACUUCUCUCUGAUCCUCUGAAUCAUCAUCUCUAAGAUGGUUUUAUUAUAUGGAUUGCUCACUUUGAGGAUUACCAAAUACCAGAUGCUGAAUAAGCAGUUAAUAAAUGAAAGUUAUUAUGAUCCAUAAUUCUCAUCUCUUCUUCCUGAUGUCACUUAACAAUAUGUUCUAAAGAUAUAUAAUAAAGAUUGAGAGCUGUUUUUUAUAUUGCAAA